GAUGAACGCUGACAGAAUGCUUAACACAUGCAAGUCGAUGGGGAAGUGGUGCUUGCACCAUGGCAACCAUGGCGGACGGGUGAGUAACGCGUAAGGGACUUACCUGCAGGACUGGGAUAACAGGGGGAAACUCCUGACAAGACCGGAUAAUGUCAUGGAGCUGCAUGGCUUUAUGAUGAAAGGAGACGCCUGCGGAGAGCCUUGCGUCCUAUUAGCUAGUUGGUGAGGUAAUGGCUCACCAAGGCGAAGAUAGGUAGCCGGCCUGAGAGGGUGGACGGCCACAAGGGGACUGAGAUACGGCCCUUACUCCUACGGGAGGAAGCAGUGGGGAAUAAUGGACAAUGGGGGCAACCCUGAUCCAGCAAUUCUGUGUGCACGAAGAAGGUUUUCGGAUUGUAAAGUGCUUUCAGCAGGGAAGAAGUAAGUGACGGUACCUGCAGAAGAAGCGACGGCUAAAUACGUG
rnacentral:rRNA from 1 species